AAAAAGGGCUUCUGCGGUGAGUGGCACAUGUAGAGCAGCUUGAUUGUUCUACAUGCGGAAUUGACACAAAGAGAUUUCAGAAAGUUUUUUGGUUCUUGGGCAGCUGGUGAUCAUUGGUCCUGGCGCCCAC